ensembl:lncRNA
AUGGGUUUAUCAGGGGUUUCCGCUUUUGCUUCCUUUCUCAUUUUCUCUUGCUGCUGUGUUUUAAGAAGUGCCUUUCUCCUCCCACCAGGAUUCUGUGGACUCCCCCCCAGCCAUGUGGAACUGUACAUGGAUGAAUCUGGAAACCAUCAUUCUCAGCAAACUGACACAAGAACAGAAAAUCAAACACCACAUAUUCUCACUCAUAGGUGGGUGUGGAACAAUGAGAACACAUGGACACAGGGAGGGGAGCAUCACACACUGGGGUCUGUUGUGGGGCUAGGAGAGGGAAAGUGGUGGGUAGGGAGUUGGGGAGGGAUAACAUGGGGAGAAAUGCCAGAUACAAGUGAUGGGGGAAUGGAGGCAGCAAACCACCAUUGCCGUGUAUACCUAUGCAACAAUCCUGCAUGUUCUGUACAUGUACCCCAGAACCUAAAGUGCAAAAAUAAAAUAAAAACGUAGUAAAAAAAAAAAAGUAAUUCACAUUUAAAGUAUUUUUUCAGUUGAAACAAUGUUGAGGGUUUUGGGUUCAGAAGUGACAUUGAACUUAGCGUUCUGACCAAUCUUAGGACUAAUCCUAAAUCGAAUCCUAAAACUAGGAUUACCUGGGAUAAGAGCAGAAGCGGAGAGUCCAGUUAGGAGACCACUACAAUAUCAUUGAAAGAAAUGAUGCCAGUAGGACACAAGUAAUAGUGCUGAAAAUCAUGAAAUUUGUUCAAAUCCUGAAGGUAAAGUUGGUAGGAUUUACCAAAAGAUUGUAAGAGGGAGUGAGAGAAAGAAAAUAGUCAGAGAUGACUCCAAGGGAUUCCUCUGUGUUGAGUAGAGUGUGCAAUUAUCAUUACCUCAGUGAGAAAGACAGUAAGGAACAGGUUUGAGGAAAGAUGCUGGAACUUUGGUGCUGGACUUGAUAGAGAAAAGUCAGGCAUAGAGAUACACUUUCGUGAGCCAUUAGCAUUCCAUUAGCUAUUGCUGCGUAAGAAACAACCAUCGAAUCUCAGUGAAAUUGAUGGUACGAUUUUAUUUCUCACAUAUCUACAGGUUGACUUAUGAUUGGCUCUUCUAGUCUAGCUUUAUUUAGGCCACUCUGCUUAAGCUAAGGGUCACACUGGAUUUUGCAAUGCUCUACAAUCUGGGUUUUAGUCUUCUCCACCUCUAUUCCUGCUGGGACUCAGCUUUCUCCUUAUGAUGAUAGACAUAAGAGGGUGGGCCCCAUUGCCCAAACACAUUUCAUGUCUAAUAUUGUCUCAUUGAUUAAACAAAGUCAUGAGGCCAAUCCCAAAGUCAGGAAAUAGGGAGUUCCAUUCCACUUUUUGUAGGAGAAAAUGCAAAAUUACCUAGUAAAGCUGUGGAUACAGACAGAAGUGAAACCAUGAAAACAAUAAUUAAUUUUGCCAUGGGUGCGUGUGUCAUACUUAAAGCCAUGAGCCUAGGUGAAAUCCAAAAUGAUUCACCUAUUACUUUUCCAUCAGCUAUGUAUGAGAAUUUAUAUGUCUUUGCUCUGUGUUAUUAUUUUAAAACUGAUUUGACAAUGUGAGGGACAAAAAAAAUAACACUCGUCUUAACUACAGUAAUUGUAUUUCUAAACCAAGGUUAAGGCAUAGAAAUACUUGGAGUCACUGUGUGAUUUUGAUUUUCCAGUAGGAUUUUCAUUCAGUGGUUUAUUAGGCCUUGGUCCAGUUACCAAAAAAGAAAGGUUUCCCAAUAGAUUUUGUUGCCUUUUAUAUUUUUAACCAUUUUUUGUUUAUAUUUAAUAAUUACCAGAAACAAGAAUGAAUUUCAAAUAAGUGUGGGAAAUAAGUGAGAGAAAGAAAACAGUCAAAGGUGACUCCAAGGGAUGUUUUUUGUGUGUGUUUGAGUAGAGUAUGCAGUGGUCAUUAACUAGAUGAGAAAGACAUCAGAACUUUAGUGUUAGACAUGAUAACUUUGAAAUUUUAGAAAUGUGGAAUUGGGAGCUGGAGUUAGAGAAGAGUCAGGCAUAGAGAACUAAUUCUGUGAGCCAUUAACAUUCCAUCAGCUAUUGCUGUGUAAGAAAUAACCAUAGAACCUUCCAACUCUAAUCCAACUCCUAGAGUUUGUUCUCCUUUAGUCACCACUAAUUCAUCAGAAUGGAUAAUGAUUUGGUGAGAACCAAAGAAAACAAUGGUGCAUAUUACAACGCUAAGAAAGCCUAAAGAAUUUCAAUUCACACAUGCAGUGUUGAAAAUAUGAUAAACAGUAAAGCCACCACAGAAAAACGUAUCAUGCUCUUUUGCAGAUUCGGUAGGGGGGUCCUGUCUCAUUUUAAAGGCAUUGUUGUGAGAAUGUGACCUAUGUGCCUUUCUCUGGUUAAAGGCUCACAUAUGCCUGUCCAUUCACAGCAAAGGGCAUUAUGCACUAUUUACAAUGCACACAAUCUGUUCAAGGCGUUUGAAAUUCAUUAUUGUGUGGGCUGCAUAUAUUUUCAUUGAGUUGAAACCCUUAAGAUUUCUGAGGUAUUGUAAAAAUACAUGUUUUUAGUGACUGAAAUAUUUAUCUUAAGAAAGCAAUUACAAUAUUAGGAUCACAAAGCAUUUACAUACAAAUUGUACUGAGUUUAGUGAUGAUCUUAGAAACAAGCACAUGGACAAGAAGCUAUAGGUAAAGCCUUAAAUAGGAAAGAAUAUUUUCUUUUCAGCAGUUGCACUGGAUGACUAUGCUUUCCUCUUGCACAUAAUAAAGAGAACAGUACUGUAUACUUUGUGUAAAAAUAGAAAAUCUAUUAAGGAAU